rnacentral:rRNA from 1 species
GACGAACGCUGGCGGUGUGCUUAACACAUGCAAGUGGUGCGACGAACCAGAGCUUGCUCUGGGGCAAAGCCGCGAACGGGUGAGUAACACGUGUGUAAUCUACCCCGAUGACCGGGACAACCCGAGGAAACUCGGGCUAAUACCGGAUGUGGUGCGGAGACAUAAGUCUCUUCACUAAAGGUAGCUUCGGCUUCCGCAUUGGGAGGGGCCCGCGGCCCAUUAGCUUGUUGGUGGGGUCAAGGCCUACCAAGGCAACGAUGGGUAGCUGGUCUGAGAGGACGAUCAGCCACACUGGGACUGAGACACGGCCCAGACUCCUACGGGAGGCAGCAGUGGGGAAUCUUGCGCAAUGCGCGAAAGCGUGACGCAGCAACACCGCGUGAGGGAAGAAGGCCUUAGGGUUGUAAACCUCUUUCAGAUGGGACGAAGGUUCUCCGGUGAAUAGCCGAGAGGAUUGACGGUACCGUCAGAAGAAGCUCCGGCUAACUACGUG